UACGGGGGAUCCAAGCGUUAUCCGGAAUCAUUGGGUUUAAAGGGUCCGUAGGCGGUUUUGUAAGUCAGUGGUGAAAGCCCAUCGCUCAACGGUGGAACGGCCAUUGAUACUGCAAGACUUGAAUUAUUGGGAAGUAACUAGAAUAUGUAGUGUAGCGGUGAAAUGCUUAGAGAUUACAUGGAAUACCAAUUGCGAAGGCAGGUUACUACCAAUAUAUUGACGCUGAUGGACGAAAGCGUGGGGAGCGAACAGG
rnacentral:rRNA from 1 species